CAGCCCCCUCCCCCUUCCAUUGUGACAGGGCCCAGCCCAGACCUCUGCACCUGACGCCUCGCAGGCUGCUUGGCCCACCGCAGGCCCGCAAACCCAGGAGCUCGCAUCCCACUCACAGGAUGUUCCAACAGCACCCUCUCCUGGAAAGCUCCCUUUAUUUUGUGGAGAGCCGAACUCCAGUUGUGUUUGGUGACCAUACCUGGUGUCUGAGAACCUCGCUGGGAAGAGAACUGUCCAUUUUGCAGAUGAGAACACCGAGGCAGGAAGAAGUUAAGUAACUGCUCCCAGGCCACGCCGACAGUACACAGCAGCUCUGAGAUUCAAGGCCAGGCCUUACAGAUCAUGAGGAGGAUCUCACAGAUCCAUGUGACUGUGUGUCGUUGGGCCUAUAUUCAGUUACAUAAACCUCUAAAUUUUAGCAUCUAUUUUAGGGCUCCGCACUCAGAAUACGCACUCUGAAUAUUUGUUGAGUUGACAUCUUGCUGGGCAUUUUGUGGUGGGCAGUAAAUAUCUGGUAUACAAAGGAUGGAUGGACUGGACCCAAAAGGGACUGAGAUUAUAAAUGUGGUGGGAGGCUCAGGAUGCCAUGUCGGGGACCCCCAUGGCAGAAUUCAGGGUUCUGCUCCCCACUCUCCCACAUUUGUUUGUGAAUACAGGAGCAGGGGAGCCUGGGACAGUGACCGGGAGACAGGCCUUGGCAGCCUCUCUGUCUGUCCAGCCAUCCAAGGACUGAUGCCUCGUCUUCUCCCCACCCACCCUAGUGAUGUCACAGUGUGUGGGGGGGCAGGGGGACAGGCAGGGGUGUGGUUGGGAGACCCUCCCUCACCUCCUUUGCUAACCCAGAGGCUACCUGGUGCUUCUACUUUUAAACAAGCAGAAGGAUGGCCCCGGUCUUUUCUUCCUCCACGUUUGUAAGCAAAGGAAGGAGAGGACAGAAAUCCCAGGAGACCAUCAGGCAGCGAUAGGCCAGGGCUGUCCCCCUGCAGGGCCCCACAGCGUGGUGCUAAUCUACAGGAGACAGAGGCUCACAACCCUCCCAGGCUGGCACAGAGGGCAUGGGGUGUCGCAGAGAACAGGGGUUCUCCCCCACUAGGAGCUCAGAUUUGAGAAGACUAGAGCCGCUAGCUGGAAGCAGGAGUGUUGGCCACAUGCGCGUUAGAGGGUGAGAGCACUGCGCGUGGAAGUCGGGGAGGGGGGCAGUCAUGGAUCCAGGAGCAUUUUGGAGCAUAGGUGAAACAGGAGAAGGUAGGUGUAAACGAACCCAGCGCGUCAGGGGACAGAGAGGGCAGCGCGGCUGGCAGCAGGCACUGUGUAGGAAAGUGGGGGAGAGCUUAGCAGAGCAGAGGGGGCAGAUUAUGGAGCCCUGCCUGGAUGCUCCUUGGAGAAGUCUGAGAUUCCAAGUUGCUUCCAGUCCUGUGCACGUGGCUCCCACCGCCCUCCAGCAGUCUGUGCUACUGGCUGCCCAACCACUUCUUAACAAAUGUCCAGAGGAGGAGCACAGCACGAUCUGUUUCCUGGUAUUUGGAAGCACGCCCUGUCUACAGAAAGCAGCCUGUGUCUGGUUUCCUUGUCCCCAGAGUCACCAUAGGGCCUUUUCAUGGCCCACCGUGAAGUGCAGGUCAAGCCCUGCUCAGCAGUAUCAUGGCAUUGUGACGACCAUCACCCCAGCCACCACCCUCGGGCACCUCUGGAGAAGUGACACUGGGGCAUCCCUUCUCCCUUCCUGGAGGGGCUCUUGGCCCACCCAGCCAUUAAUGUGCAAAUGGCCCAUUUUCUGCUUCAAAGGAAAGAUUUUUUUUUUUUUUUUUUCUGAGAUCUGCAGUUUUCGAGUAUUCUCAAAUGACUAGCCGGAAUCAAUCUGAGAUCUAAGAGUUUGGUGCAUGUAGAGUGUGGUAUUCUCAACUGCCAUCUUCACUUCUUUUUGGCAAGACCCAGCGAGCCAGUGGCUGAAGGAGGGACCUGAGGCUUGGGGGCCAUAGAGCCCAUGUUACUCACUUUUAAAAUUUGUUCCUUCACCUGAACUGCUGCUGCUGCUGCUGCUGCCGCCUUCUAUCCCUCCUGUCUCCUCCUCCAUUCACUCGCCCAAAGGCCCUGUACAGUUCAUUCUUCCUUCCCAAGUCUGGCCCUGCUCCAGGCAUCAGUGGGGACCCUAGUGAAAGAGAAGCUCCGAUAGAGGGUGUUGUGUGGUCAAGGGUCUCUGCAGUUCAGACCUGGAGAUCCAGGGGGUUUUGAGGAAGGCGAAUUCCUGUGAGUUGCAAGUCAAUUGGGAGGGCUUCCUGAAGGAGGAGGACUGGAUUGAGCCUUAAAGAAUAGAAGCCUCCUAGGGCCACAUGAUGGAUGGGAGGUGAUCUGGCUGCCACUCUGGGUAAAUGGAUGUUACCUUCUGUUUUAUGUGGACCUUCCCCAAAAGAGGGUGACCUUGUGAGAUAGAGGGUGACCAUGAGGCAGAUGGCCUGGCUCAAGAUAAUGGCCCCCUGCCUGCCCCAUCCAUAGCAGGGUGGACUGGGCUGCCCCAGCCAAACCACCCUGGCUCACUCUACCCCCUCCUUCCUAAUUGCCCCAUUACUGUAAAUAAUAUCUUCCUUUCCAAACAAUUAGCCUUCUCAUCUUGAAGCUUCCUGUUUGUUUUUUCUGGUUCUGAGGCCCUAACGUUGGAGAAAACAAACAUCCGGCAUCUGUCUGCAGUCUCCCCGCAACCAGCCCAGCCACUAAUGCUUUUACAGCCCCCGCAGGCCUGCUCCCCUGUCCCCCUCCCAGACCAUCUCCUGGACCAUCAGAUCCUUUAAACGAGCUCAGGAGGAGACAAGGCACAAUUCAUACCUCCACUUGCAACAGGGAAACCAAGGCUCAGAGGGUCUGCACGGUUUGCCCAAGGUCCAUGGAGGAUGAGCAGGUCGAUGGCUAGU